rnacentral:rRNA from 1 species
UACGAAGGGGGCUAGCGUUGCUCGGAAUUACUGGGCGUAAAGGGAGCGUAGGCGGAUAGUUUAGUCAGAGGUGAAAGCCCAGGGCUCAACCUUGGAAUUGCCUUUGAUACUGGCUAUCUUGAGUACGGAAGAGGUAUGUGGAACUCCGAGUGUAGAGGUGAAAUUCGUAGAUAUUCGGAAGAACACCAGUGGCGAAGGCGACAUACUGGUCCGUUACUGACGCUGAGGC